AGAGUUUGAUCCUGGCUCAGGAUAAACGCUGGCGGCGUGCCUAAUGCAUGCAAGUCGAACGGAGUAGUCCUUCGGGGCUACUGAGUGGCGGACGGGUGAGGAACACGUGCGAGACCUGCCCUCGGAUGGGGAAUAAGCCCUCGAAAGGGGGUCUAAUGCCGCAUACGGUCCCAAGCAGCAAGGUUUGGGAGGAAAGCUCGAGAGGGCGUCCGAGGAGGGGCGUGCGGCCGAUUAGCUAGUUGGUGGGGUAAAGGCCUACCAAGGCGACGAUCGGUAGCUGGUCUGAGAGGAUGGUCAGCCACACUGGGACUGAGAUACGGCCCAGACUCCUACGGGAGGCAGCAGCAGGGAAUCUUGCGCAAUGGGCGAAAGCCUGACGCAGCAACGCCGCGUGGGUGAAGAAGGCUCUCGGGUCGUAAA
rnacentral:rRNA from 1 species